rnacentral:rRNA from 1 species
AACUAAAGCUAGCCCAACUCUACCUAAAAAUCAAUAAAUCUAUUAAACUUUAAAUUAAACCAUUCACCACUAAGCAAAAGUAUAGGAGAUAGAAAUUUCACUCGGCGCUAUAGACAAAGUACCGCAAGGGAAAGAUGAAAGAACAAUUAAAAGUACAUAAAAGCAAAGCUCACUACUUGUACCUUUUGCAUAAUGACUUAACUAGAACAACUUGACAAAAAGAAUUUUAGUCAACAAACCCGAAACCAGACGAGCUACUCAUAAAUAGCUACAUAAGAGCACACUCAUCUAUGUGGCAAAAUAGUGAGAAAAUCUAUGAGUAGAGGUGAAAAGCCUAUCGAGCCUGGUGAUAGCUGGUUGUUCGGGAAAGAAUUUUAGUUCAACUUUAAAUUUACCCUAAGUACUCAAAACCUAAUGUAAAUUUAAAAUUUAAUCUAAAGGGGGACAGCCCUUUAGAACAGGCUACAACCUUUAGUAGAGAGUAAAAAAAUCUUAUUCCAUAGUUGGCCUAAAAGCAGCUAUCAAUUAAGAAAGCGUUCAAGCUCAACACACCAAACCAAACCGAUCCCAAACCUCUAUCCUAACCUCCUACCAACUAACCGAACCAAUCUAUCACUAAAUAGAAGCAUUACUGUUAAUAUAAGUAACAAGAAUUUAAUAUUCUCCUCGCAUAAGCCUAUAUCAGAUCGGAUACUCACUGAUAGUUAAACAAAAAAUAAAUCAAACACAACUUAAAUAAUACUUAUCCAAAUAACUGUUAAUCCAACACAGGUGUGCACUAAGGAAAGAUUAAAAGGAGCAAAAGGAACUCGGCAAAAACUAACCCCGCCUGUUUACCAAAAACAUCACCUCUAGCAUAACUAGUAUUAGAGGCACUGCCUGCCCAGUGACACAUGUUCAACGGCCGCGGUAUCCUGACCGUGCAAAGGUAGCAUAAUCAUUUGUUCUUUAAUUUAGGACUUGAAUGAAGGGCCACACGAGGGUUAAACUGUCUCAAGCUCCCAAUCAGUGAAAUUGACCUUCCCGUGAAGAGGCGGGAAUGCAAUAAUAAGACGAGAAGACCCUAUGGAGCUUAAAUUAAUUAACCCAGAUACAUUCACUCAAAAACCAAAACGGAUAUAAUAUUUAUUGAUUUUUGGGUUAAAAAUUUCGGUUGGGGUGACCUCGGAGCAUAACUCAACCUCCGAACAAUUUCAGCCUAGACCUCACUAGUCAAAGCAACUCCCGUACUAAAUUGAUCCAAACUAAUUUGAUCAAUGGAACAAGUUACCCUAGGGAUAACAGCGCAAUCCUAUUAUAGAGUUCAUAUCGACAAUAGGGUUUACGACCUCGAUGUUGGAUCAGGACACCCCAAUGGUGUAACCGCUAUUAAAGGUCCGUUUGUUCAACGGUUAAAGUCCUACGUGAUCUGAGUUCAGACCGGAGCAAUCCAGGUCGGUUUCUAUCUAUUUAAUAUUUCUCCCAGUACGAAAGGACAAGAGAAAUAGAGCCAACUCAAUAGAGAGCUCUCAAUUUUAUAGAUGCUAUAAACUUAACCUAGCACAUUACUUAAUACCUCACCCAAGACCAGGGUUC